UGGGGAAUUUUGCGCAAUGGGGGAAACCCUGACGCAGCAACGCCGCGUGGAUGAUGAAGACCCUUGGGUUGUAAAAUCCUUUCGGCAGGGACGAAUUAAUUGACGGUACCUGAAGAAGAAGCCCCGGCUAACUCCGUGCCAGCAGCCGCGGUAAUACGGGGGGGGCGAGCGUUGUUCGGAAUUAUUGGGCGUAAAGGGCGCGUAGGCGGUGUGGUAAGUCUGUUGUGAAACCUCCAGGCUCAACUUGGAGCUUGCAUCAGAAACUGCCGUGCUAGAGUGUGGGAGAGGAGAGUGGAAUUCCUGGUGUAGCGGUGAAAUGCGUAGAUAUCAGGAGGAACACCGGUGGCGAAAGCGGCUCUCUGGACCACAACUGACGCUGAGGCGCGAAAGCUAGGGGAGCAAACAGGAUUAGAUACCCCGGUAGUCC
rnacentral:rRNA from 1 species